rnacentral:tRNA from 1 species
GAGGGUAGAGCUCAGUGGUAGAGCGUGUGCUUAGCAUGCAUGAGGCCCUGGGUUCAAUCCCCAGCACCUCCA